UACAGAGGGCGCGAGCGUUGUCCGGAAUCACUGGGCGUAAAGGGCGCGUAGGUGGCGACCCAAGUCGAUGGUGAAAGCUCGCCGCUCAACGGCGAGUCGGCCACUGAUACUGGGUUGCUCGAGCACUGUAGAGGCAGAUGGAAUUCCGGGUGUAGCGGUGGAAUGCGUAGAGAUCCGGAAGAACACCGGUGGCGAAGGCGGUCUGCUGGGCAGUAGCUGACACUGAGGCGCGACAGCGUGGGGAGCAAACAGG
rnacentral:rRNA from 1 species